GGGAUAACUUCAGGAAACUGGGGCGUAAUACCGGAUAGGAGCUCCUGCUGCAUGGUGGGGGUUGGGAAAGUUUCGGCGGUUGGGGAUGGACUCGCGGCUUAUCAGCUUGUUGGUGGGGUAGUGGCUUACCAAGGCUUUGACGGGUAGCCGGCCUGAGAGGGUGACCGGCCACAUUGGGACUGAGAUACGGCCCAG
rnacentral:rRNA from 1 species